AUCCAACCGUGCAACAUACAUACAAUAGAAAAAAUACGGAUUUGCAAUAUGAAACUUGUUUAAUAAAGUGUUUUUAUUGGUUGAAUUCAACACAAAAGAUUACGCAUCUUGAAAGUAACUCCUCAGUUUGCCAGAGUCUUCGUUGGGACGACGAAUAUGAACUGGUACCCGCGUCAAUUCAGUGUCUGCCUGACAUUACUGAUAUUUGUUGCUUUGACAGCUGGAUAUGACUAUCUUGAUGGAGAUGUUACCCUAGACUCUUCUGGCUUAGUGAAUAUCUAUUAUAAGGGCAAAUGGGGAACCAUAUGCUACAGCAGUUCUUAUGCCCACUUGAUGUCAAAAGCAAUAUGUCGCAGUUUAGGACUCAAGUAAGUAAACAAGUAUUUUUCGACGAAUGACCAA